AUUCACCCAAAAAUCGAAGAGUGAAAUGUGCGUUAUAAGCCCAAUUCAAGCAUAGGUGUUUUGGUUCCAUCUCAAUAGAAGGAGGCCGAAUAAGCUUGGAUUGCACUUUCGGUGUUCAUUCACCCACAAAUAACAAAGCGAAGUGUCAUAAGCCUAAACAAAGCAAAACAGGUUAUUUUGGGUUCAAUCUACAUAAAAAGAAGAAUCUUGGAUUUCACUUAUUUCAAAGUCGUGUUCUUUGGUGUUAAUGCACAUUGACCCAGAAAUCGCAAAGUGUAUGUAAUGAGACCAAAAUAACAAAUCACCAUAUUUCCGCUUCCAUUGCAUAGAAAGAAGACGAAUAAGGUUCGAUUGGGCUUAUUUCAAUUUGCAUGGUGUUUUUUGGGUGUGCACUAGAUUCGCCCCAACCAAAGCAAAAAGGUGUUUUGGCUUCCAUCUACAUAAAAAGAAGAUGAUAACGCUCUGAUUGGGUUUAUUUCAAAUUGGUGUUUUUGGGGUUAGAAUUCACAUUCCACCAAAAAUAGCAGAGUGAAAUGUUUUUCAGCCCAAAUCAAGCAUAGGUGUUUUGGUUCCACCUCAAUAGAAGGAGGACGAAUAAGCUUGGAUUGCACUUUCGGUGCUCAUUCACCCACAAAUAACAGAGUGUAAUAAGCCUAAACAAGUGUAAUAACCCUAAACAAAGCAAAACAGGUUUUGAGUUCCAUCUACAUAGAAAGAGGCAUCUUGGAUUUCGCUUAUUUCAAAGUGUUCUUUUGUUUUAAUGCACAUUUACCCAGAAAUCGCAAAGUGUAUGUAAUGAGACCAAUACAACAAAACACCAUAUUUCCGCUUCCAUAGCAUAGAAAGAAGAAGAAUAAGCUUUGAUUGGGCUUAUUUCAAUUUGCAUGGUGUUUUUUUGGUGUGCACCAGAAUCACCCCAACCAAAGCAAAAAGGUCUUUUGGCUUCCAUCUACAUAAAAAGAAGACAAUAAAGCUCUGAUUGGGCUUAUUUCAAAUUGGUGUUUUUGGGUUUUGAAUGCAAAUUCAACCAAAAAUCGAAGAGUGAAAUGUGCGUUAUAAGCCCAAAUCAAGCAUAGGUGUUUUGGUUCCAUCUCAAUAGAAAGGAGAACUAAGCUUCAGUUGCACUUUCGAUGUUCAUUCACCCACAAAUAACAAAGCGAAGUGUCAUAAGCCUAAACAAAGCAAAAGAGGUUGUUUUGAGUUCCAUCUACGUAGAAAGAUGCAUCUUGGAUUUCACUUAUUUCAAAGUCGUGUUCUUUGGUUUUAAUGCACAUUGACCCAGAAAUCGCAAAGUGUAUUUAAUGAGAGCAAAAUAACAAAACACCAUCUUUCCGCUUCCAUAGCAUAGAAAGAAGAAGAAUAAGUUUCCAUUGGGAUUAUUUCAAUUCGCAUGGUGUUUUUUGGGUGUGCACCAGAAUCCCCCCAACCAAAGCAAAAAGGUGUCUUGGCUUCCAUCUACAUAAAAAAAAGAUGAUAACGCUCUGAUUGGACUUAUUUCAAAUUGGUGUUUUUGGGGUUAGAAUGCACAUGGACCCAAAAAUCGCAGUGGGAAAUUUGUUAUCAGCACAAAUCAAACAUAGGUGUUUUGAUUUGAUCUCUAUAGAAAGAGGAGGAAUAACCUUGGAUUGCACUUUCGGUGUUUUUGGGGUUAGAAUGCACAUUCAACCAAAAAUCGCAGAGUGAAAUGGUUUUCAGCCGAAAUCAAGUAUAGGUGUUUGGUUCCACCUCAAUAGAAGGAGGAUGAAUAAGCUUGGAUUGCACUUUCGGUGUUCAUUCACCCACAAAUAACAAAGCGAAGUGUCAUAAGCCUAAACAAACAAAACAGAUUAUUUUGGGUUCCAUCUACAUAGAAAGAAGAAUCUUGGAUUUAACUUAUUUCAAAGUCGUGUUCUUUGGUGUUAAUGCACAUUUACCCAGAAAUCGCAAAGUGUAUUUAAUGAGACCAAAAUAACAAAACACCAUCUUUCCGCUUCCAUAUGCGUAGAAAGAAGACGAAUAAGCUUCGAUUGGGCUUAUUUCAAUUCGCAAGGUGUUUUUUGGGUGUGCACCAGAAUCACCCCAACCAAAGCAAAAAGGUGUUUGGCUUCCAUCUAUAUAAAAAGAAGAUGAUAACGCUCUGAUUGGGCUUAUUUCAAAUUGAUGUUGUUGGGGUUAGAAUGCACAUUCAACCAAAAAUCGGAGAGUGAAAUGUUUUUCAGGCCAAAUCAAGCAUAGGUGUUUUGGUUCCACCUCAAUAGAAGGAGGACGAAUAAGCUUGGAUUGCACUUUCGGUGUUCAUUCACCCACAAAUAACAAAGCGAAGUGUCAUAAGCCUAAACAAAGCAAAACAGAUUAUUUUGGGUUCCAUCUACAUAGAAAGAAGAAUCUUGGAUUUCACUUAUUUCAAAGUCGUGUUCUUUGGUGUUAAUGCACAUUUACCCAGAAAUCGCAAAGUGUAUUUAAUGAGACCAAAAUAACAAAUCACCAUCUUUCCGCUUCCAUAGCGUAGAAAGAAGACGAAUAAGGUUCGAUUGGGCUUAUUUCAAUUCGCAUGGUGUUUUUUGGGUGUGCAGCAGAAUCACUCCAACCAAAGGAAAAAGGUGUUUUGGCUUCCAUCUACAUAAAAAGAAGAUGAUAACGCUCUGAUUGGGCUUAUUUCAAAUUGGUGUUUUUGGGGUUAGAAUGCACAUUCACCCAUAAAUCGCAGAGGGAAAUUUGUUAUCAGCACAAAUCAAACAUAGGUGUUUUGAUUCAAUCUCUAUAAAAAGUGGAGGAAUAAGCUUGGAUUGCUCUUUCGUGUUCAUUCACCCAGAAGAUCAAAGCGAAGUGUCAUAAGCCUAAACAAGAGAAAACAGGUUAUUUUGGGUUCCAUCUACAUAGAAUGAAGAAUCUUGCAUUUCGCUGAUUUCAAAGUCGUUUUCUUUGGUGUUAAUGCACAUUUACCCAGAAAUCGCAAAGUGUAUGUGUCAGGGGUUCAGGGAGAGAGGCACAGGGUAGGCAGGAGAUGGAGAGCGAUGGGGAUGAAUUCCAAGCCAGCGAGGAAGAGGAUGACAAUGACUCAAGAGAUUCCAUGAGUCUUUCCAGCGAAUCAGAGGAUUCCCAGAAGGGGGCGCCGGUGGUCAAGGCCAGGGGAGCCCCAGGGGGGAGGUGUCAGGAGCAGGGGGCCAGCGGAGGAUCCCAAAGUGGCAGCUGGGCGUCAGGACCAGCCUCCCCACCAGAGUGCAGCGAAGGGGGUGGAGUUUCCAGUGUGUCAGAGGAAGCAGCUCCGGCAGCAGAGAAAGGAGGGAGGUCAGAGCAAGCCGCCCUCCCGGAAGGGGAAGGGAGCAGUGAAGGGAGUAGUGUAACUGUCAAAAGGAAAGUUAGAGGUUUGGCGCGCGCGCCUAGUUCAAAUGUAGAGGCGCGCGGAAGUACAGGGAGCCCGGAGGAGGGGCCAGGUCCCAAAGCCCGCAGGAGGGGGGGAAGAGCAGUCUGAUUCCGCGUCAGAGGAAUCCAGGAGGGGCGAAACCCCAGUGGGCAGAAGGACCCUGCGGAAAAGGAAGGAGAGAAAGAGGUGGAGCAGCGCAAGUCUCUUAAAUUGGUGCAGGGGAGGGACUGACUCAGAGGGGACUUCAGCGGUCUAGCGUAAGAGACGUAAGGCUGCGCGCCUAGGAUGUCAAGCAAACCAUGAACUGCAAUAAACACCUUUGUAUAUAAGAAGACAUAGGCGUUGGUCUUUUGUGAGCUGAGACUUGAGGCAGCUUUGACAGUAAGUCCCCUCUCACAAGAACCGCAAAAGUUUUUUUUUGCAAAGCUCACGAAGUUUGGCAGCGAUGACUACUGAGGGGCAGAUAGCGUCCCUGCAAAACGCAGUCACCGAGCUCUCCACUGCCGUCGUGGUGUCUCAGAAGACGGUUGCCGAAGCAGAAGCGCGAUGCCAGGAUCUGCAAGCCAGGUGGGAUCGGGCAUGCAGAGAGGGGUUCCCAGGGUCCAGAUCAGAGGGAAUCGGACUCGGACGGAGGGGGGGCAAUUUAGUAGCCCACUUCGAUGGGAACCUGAAGCAUUAUCCCAAUUUCAGAGCAGACGUCGUAUACGCGCUGCAUUUGCUUCGAAAAGACUUCAAAGAUGAGGAGGAAAAAGUAGGUUUUAUUGUGUCCCAUUUGCAUGGGGAAGCAAGAACCUGGUUACGCAAUUUGUGGCGUGAAGAUGGUCUUGCACGCAGGGACUCUGAUGAAUUUCUCAAAGCCAUGGACGCUUGUUUCCAAUCUACUGUUGACGUUGAUGUGGCACGCCAGGAGAUGCAUGGAUUGCGGCAGGGCAAGGCUACAGUGCGUCAGUACCAUUCUCGCUUUUUUGCAUUGCUGAAUGUGCUGGGCUGGGAAAAGGACUCCCUGGCAGUGAGGGACUUGUUCUGGGAAGGGCUUCAUGGCUCAGUGAAAGAUGAGCUGGCUAGGGAGACAGACCUCAAACCCUAGCAGACGUCGUGCAGAGGGCACUCACGAUAGGGGUGCGCCACGAAGAACGCCCUUGGCACAGGGAGGAGGGGCGUCACGCCCGCCCACCAGCUAGAGCGCCUCCUUUUCCUUCCAGGGACCUGGAACGUUCAAACCUUUUGCCUGUGCUGGCAGGGGGAAGAACCAAUGGAACUGGGUGGUGCAAAGGCUCAGACAGCUGCCGGAGCCUCAGCGUCCGGAGCAGUCAAAGCGAAGCCUCCUAGAGGGACCAGGAAGUGUUACAUCUGUGACAGUGCACGGCACAUGGCUAAAGAGUGUCCCCAGAGGCUCCAGAAGCACACUGCAGCCUUAGCAACAGUAACAGGGGAAGCGUUCCAAGGGGAACAGUUUCAGGGAAACGAGAAUGCCUGGUUGGAGGGCGAGAUGCUGGGGCUCCGCCAGGCAAGUCAGUGAAGCAGUCCCCAGCGCUUUGCAGCCUACAGACCCCUUACCACCCAAGCCAGUGGUGCAGCUCACUGCUACUCUCCAGCUGCCUAAUGGACUCACCCUGGAAGUCCCCAUUACGAUUGACUCAGGGAGCAACGCAGACUUCGUGGGGGUGCAGUUCAUCAAGCAGCAUCGCAUAGCGCUACUACCAGCCACCCUGCCUCUGAAUGUGGUCACUGUAGAUGGCAGGAAGUUGCUGGGUGGGCAAGUGGUACAACAGACGCCACCCAUGCUGCUGAAAAUUGGGAAUCAUCGCGAGGUCAUCAGUUUCAAUGUCACCCAACUGUCAGACACGCCCAUAGUGUUAGGCAUGAGUUGGCUGGAUAGACACAGCCCAUCAUUGGCGUGGUACCAGCGGCAGCUCACCUUUGGCUCGUCCUACUGCGCACAACAUUGCAUCCAGAUCGGCCAGGAGGAGGAGGGCCAGGAGGAAGGGCAACAGCUGCAUCUAGGCAUGGUGCAGGCAGUGCCCCACAAGUACAAGGGGUUUUUGGAGGUCUUCUGCGAGAAGGAAGCUGACCAAUUACAGUGGUACCCCGCAAGACGAACGCCUCGCAAGACGGAAAACCCGCUAGACGAAAGGGUUUUCCGUUUUGGAGGCGCUUCGCAAAACGAAUUUCCCUAUGGGCUUGCUUCGCAAGACGACAGCCCAUAGGGAAAUCUCAGGGACAGCGGGGAAGCGCAGCGCGUCUUCCCCACUGUCCUCGGACCUCCUCCGAAGCCUGGCGGCGGGGCGGGGACACCUCCUCCCGCCGCCGCCGGGCUCGGAAGGCUCCUCCGAGCCGGGCGGGGGGAGGGAACACCUGCCGCCGCCGCCCGGCUCCGGAACGGUGCUCCGAGCCGGGCGGGGGGAGGGAACACCUGCCGCCGCCGCCCGGCCCGGAACGGUGCUCCGGCCGGGCGGGGGGAGGGAAGACCUCCCGCCUCUGCCCGGCUUCGGAACGGUGCUCCGAGCCGGGCGGUGGGGAGGGAAGACCUCCCCGCCGCCCGGCUCGGAACGGUGCUCCGAGCCGGGCGGGGGGAGGGAACACCUGCCGCCGCCGCCCGGCUUCGGAACGGUGCUCCGAGCCGGGCGGGGGAUGAGGAAGACCUCCGCCGCCGCCCGGCUCGGAACGGUGCUCCGAGCCGGGCGGGGGAGGGAAGACCUUCUGAAGGCGGGCGGGGGCGAAGUCUUUGCUCCCCUGCCUGCCUGUCCCGGAGGGCUUUUGAAGGCGGGGAGCAAAGACUUUCGCCCCGCCCGCCUUCAGAAGAGGUCCAGGACCUCUUCUGAAGGCUGGCGGGGGCAAAGUCUUUGUCCCCCUGCCUGCCUUCCCAGGGGCUUUAAAUUGCCCCGGACAGCGGAGAAGUCCUCCGCUGUCCCGGGUGAUUUUAAAAUGCCGCCCGCCAGCAUUUUAAGAUCGCCCGGACAGCGGAGAAGUCCUCCGCUGUCCCGGGGUUUUUUAAAAUGCUGGGGGUGGGAAGAAAAGCCCUUGCCCCCCCCCCAGCCUUCAGAAGAGGUCCGGGGACAGACUGUCCCCGGACCUGGUCUGAAGGCGGUUUCCCUAGGAACGCAUUUGUCAGAGCUGGCUCCAGGUCCCAGCUCACAGAGGACCAACGCUAGCCGGCAGUAAUGUACAAAAGUCUUUAUUGAAGUACAGUUUCCAUUUUCAAGCCGGAGCGCCCCAGCUCUACGUCUAGGGGUUAGAUCGGCGAAGCUCCAUCUGAGUCUCCGCCCCCUGUACACCAGUUUAAGAUUCUAGCCUUACUCCACCUCUUACGUCUCUCCUUUCUCCUCUGGGUCCUGCUACCCCCCGGGGUCCCUUCCUUCCUGGAUUCUUCUGACGCUGACCCCCCUGACUCCUCCCCCUCUUUUCGGCGGGCUUUGGGACCUGGCUCCCUAUCCGGGCUGCCAACUGCGCCUCCCUCCUGUACAUUUGAACUUGGCGCGCGCGCCCAGCCUUCAACCUUCCUCUCGACCGUUUCCUCGCUCCCCGAUGGAGGCGUGGCCAAUCCUGACUCAUGUCCUCCCACUGGCAGUGCGCCGCCUGAUCCCGAUGCCUGGGACUCCUCCCCCCCUACUGCACUCUGGUGUGGACGCUGGUCCUGAUUUCCAACUGCUGCUCUCUGAGUCCCCUCUGGCCCCUUCUUCCGGGGGUGUCCCCUCGGCACCCCCUUGCUCUGACCAAGGGAGCCCCUUUCUGUGAAUCUUCCGAUUCGCUGGAAAGACUCAGAGACCUCGGACCGCUGUCAUCGCUAACAUUUCCUUCGGACUCCUCCCCCUCGCUCUCUAUUUCCUCCCUUUCCUGUGCCUCUGCUCCUGAACCCCUGACAGCAUUAAUUGAUUUUCAAUGCAUUCCUAUGGGAAACCGUGCAUCGCAAGACGAAAAACUCGCAAGACGAAGAGACUUGCGGAACGAAUUAAUUUCGUCUUGCGAGGCACCACUGUACCACCCCACCGGCCCUACGACUGUGCAAUUGACCUCUUACCAGGGGCGACGCUGCCGACUGCGAAGCUGUAUUCCAUGUCUGAAGAUGAGAUGCAGGAGCUCAGGGAGUUCAUAGAUCACAAUUUGAAGCGGGAUUCAUCCGAGAAUCCAAGGCAGUGGGGGCAGUCCUGUGUUUUUCGUGAAGAAGAAGGACACGCCCCAAAAACGGCUCAUUGUGGACUAUAGGGCCAUAAACUCGAUGACAAAACCCAAGGCUUUCCCCAUGCCCAAGAUUGACGACCUGCUCGCGACGGUGAGGAAGGGGAGGAUCUUCACCAAGUUGGAUCUACGCGGAGCAUACAAUCUAAUACGCAUGAGGGAAGGUGACGAGUGGAAGACGGCCAUGUUCACGCCGCUGGGCACCUAUGAAUACAGAGUUAUGCCGUUUGGUCUCCAAGGUGGCUCCCACUGUUUUCAAGCAUUCAUGCACCACGUGCUAGCAGGACUCCUCUACAAGAAGUGCGUAUGCUUUCUCGACGAUAUUCUGAUCUUUUCGGAAUCGCAGGAGACUCACGACAGAGACGUAAAGGAGGUCCUGCAGAGGCUACGGGAGCACAGACUCUACGCCAAGCUGGAGAAGUGCCAGUUCGACGUGACGGAGGUGGAUUUCCUGGGCUACCGGCUGUCCGACAAGGGACUAGCCAUGGACAGCGCCAAGGUCCGCGCGGUGUUGGACUGGAAUAGCCCGCGCAAUCGGAAGGAGGUCCAGAGGUUCGUCGGCUUCGCCAACUUUUACCGCAAGUUCAUCAGGGGUUUCGCGAAAGAGACGGCAGCUAUCACGGACACCCUCAGUUCCAAGAAGAAAAAGUUCACCUGGACGGACCAGGCGGAGCAGUCCUUCAGGAGACUUAAGAGUCUCUUCGCGUCCGAAGACCAGCUGCUACACGUGAAUCCCGGCAGGCCCAUGCGGGUUGAGACUGACGCAUCUGACAGAGCAGUGGGGGCCGUCCUCUUGCAGGAAGAUUCGCAAGAGAACUGGAGGCCCUGCGCUUUCUAUUCCCGGAAGCUCAGCAAGUCGGAACAGAACUACACCAUCUGGGACAGGGAGUUGUUGGCCAUCCACGCGGCUUUCAAGGCGUGGCGGCACUUCCUCAUCGGAGCCAAGCACACCGUGCAGGUCCGCACGGACCACAAGAACCUAGAGUAUUGGCGCACGGCGAAGCUCCAGAGCCAGAGGCACAUGAGAUGGGCGGAGUUCUUUGCGGAUUUCGAUUUCCGGAUAGAGUAUAUCCCGGGAGACAACAACGUCAUAGCGGAUGCGCUCUCCAGGAAACCGCAGUAUCUCGAGGAAGCGGCACCAGCGGCAGCCAGGCACAUUUUCGCACCGCAAGCGUGGGCGUGCGCUUCCGCCGCCGUGGACCUGGACGCGGUACGACGCGCGCUACAGACGGAUCCGUUCGCACAAUCCAAGAUGGAGGAGGUGCGAAGAGGGACAGCAAAGGACGGCGAAUUCCAGAUACGCGACGGCCUGCUGACCCGCAAAGGUGCUCUCUACGUCCCGGGAGACGAUCUCCGCGCGAAGGUUUUACAGCAGUUACACGAUGCACCCAGCGCGGGUCACUUCGGCAAGGAGAAGACGGCGGACUUAGUAGCCAGGGACUUUUGGUGGCCCCAGAUGCGGGGAGAGGUCGCGGAUUACGUCGCCAGGUGUGACACUUGUCAGAGGUCCAAGCCAGUGCACAAGAAGCCAGCGGGAUUGCUGGAACCGCUGGAGACGCCACUGCAGCCGUGGGAAAGGGUGGCGCUGGACUUUGUCACUGAUCUGCCCAGUUCGCGGGGCAAGACGGCGGUGCUUGUGGUUGUAGAUCUGUUCACCAAGAUGGCGCACUUCAUUCCUUGCGCGAAGGUGGCAACAGCGGAACAGACCGCCAAGCUGUUCAUAGACCACGUGUUCCGGGUGCACGGCUUACCACGGUCCAUCCUGUCCGACCGGGGUCGCCAAUUCAUUUCCAGUUUCUGGCAGAAGCUCCUGGGCAUCCUGAAUGUCAAGAUCAACUUAGCGUCGGCGAGACACCCGCAAACCAACGGCCAAGCGGAGAGGGUCAACGCCAUCAUGCAGCAGUACCUGCGAUGUUACGCCAAUCAGAAGCCUGCAACUUGGGUGGACUACUUACCGAUGGCCGAGUUUGCCUACAACAACACGAAGCACGCGUCAACGGGGGUGACACCGUUCUUCGCCAACAAUGGGCGACAUCCCAGAACCUUCCCGGCGUUGGAGACAACGACGCAGGGGGUCGCAGGGAGCGGAACAUUUAGCAGCAGAAUUGCAGGAGGUCCACGAGGAGCUACGACGGCACUUGGAACUAGCUAAACACGCCUACAAAGUGCAGGCAGACAGGCACAGGAGGGCAGGAGAAGACAUCCAGGUGGGGGACUGGGUAUGGUUAGCAGCCCAGGCGGUGCCGGCCAAGUCGUUAGCUAAGAAGAAGCUAGGACACAAACAGCUAGGGCCAUACCAAGUUGAGGGCAGGAUCAAUCCCGUAGCUUUUCGGUUGACCCUCCCAGAGGAUUCCCGAAUGCACCCGGUCUUUCAUAGGUCGGUGCUUGCACCCUACAAGGCCCCACACAGAUUUCAGGAGCCAGGGACGGCACCAGACCCACGUAGAAAGUCACCGGGGGGGGGGAAGUCACCGAGGACCCCGACACUCAACGAGGUCACGGAAAUUCUGGACUCGAGAUGGGGGGAGGAGGGAGUGGAAUACCUCCUCGCCAGGGAAGGUACCCCGGCCAGCGCCAACAGUUGGGUGCCAGAUUAUGCUCUGGAGGAACCUUUUCUUAAGGACGAGUUCCAUGCACUCUUCCCACACAGGCCCAUGCCAGAGGAGUAUUUUGACGACUGGCUUGUACCCCCACACUUUCAGGCAGCACCUUCCGGGGGUUCUCCUCCGCAGAGGAGACCACGCCGCAAUCGAGCCCUCCAAGGGGAUCGUGCUCGGGGGGUGGACACGGACCGCUCUUAUUGGUGGGACGAUCAACCAGAAGUGGGGUGGCGAAGGGGGCCUUGGCAAGCAGCUUCGCCUGAAGUAACAGGGGGGAGGGAAGGGUUUGGAGGUGUUGGGGCGGACCCUGGUUUCGAGCACUCCUACACUGAACUGGAAGCAGAGGAGAUCGACGUCGACGAACUGUAUCCAGCAUCUACCCCCGCUACAACGAAGCUCCCGGAACCUGCGCCCGAGCAGCGGGAGGGGGCAAGGGGGCUUCGAGGGGGAUGGAUGUCAGGGGUUCAGGGAGAGAGGCACAGGGUAGGCAGGAGAUGGAGAGCGAUGGGGAUGAAUUCCAAGCCAGCGAGGAAGAGGAUGACAAUGACUCAAGAGAUUCCAUGAGUCUUUCCAGCGAAUCAGAGGAUUCCCAGAAGGGGGCGCCGGUGGUCAAGGCCAGGGGAGCCCCAGGGGGGAGGUGUCAGGAGCAGGGGGCCAGCGGAGGAUCCCAAAGUGGCAGCUGGGCGUCAGGACCAGCCUCCCCACCAGAGUGCAGCGAAGGGGGUGGAGUUUCCAGUGUGUCAGAGGAAGCAGCUCCGGCAGCAGAGAAAGGAGGGAGGUCAGAGCAAGCCGCCCUCCCGGAAGGGGAGGGAGCAGUGAAGGGAGUAGUGUAACUGUCAAAAGGAAAGUUAGAGGUUUGGCGCGCGCGCCUAGUUCAAAUGUAGAGGCGCGCGGAAGUACAGGGAGCCCGGAGGAGGGGCCAGGUCCCAAAGCCCGCAGGAGGGGGGAAGAGCAGUCUGAUUCCGCGUCAGAGGAAUCCAGGAGGGGCGAAACCCCAGUGGGCAGAAGGACCCUGCGGAAAAGGAAGGAGAGAAAGAGGUGGAGCAGCGCAAGCCUCUUAAAUUGGUGCAGGGAGGGACGGAUUCAGAGGGGACUUCAGCGGUCUAAGCGUAAGAGACGUAAGGCUGCGCGCCUAGGAUGUCAAGCAAACAAUGAACUGCAAUAAACACCUUUGUAUAUAAGAAGACAUAGGCGUUGGUCUUUUGUGAGCUGAGACUUGAGGCAGCUUUGACAGUAUGUGUCAGGGCUGCCUCAGGUCUCAGCUCACAAAAGACCAACGCCAAUCUCUUCUUAUAUACAAAAGUGUUUAUUGGAGUUCAUUGUUUGCUUCACAUCCGAGGCGCGCAGCCCCACGUCUGUUACUCUUAGACCGUUGAAGUCCCCUCUGAGUCAGUCCCUCCCCUGCACCAGUUUAAGAGGCUUGCUCUGCUCCACCUCUUCCUCUCUUUCCUUUUCCUCAGGGUCUUCCUGCCCGCUGGGGUUUCGCCCUCCUGGAUUCCCCUGACGCGGAAUCCCAGCUUGCUCUUGCCCUCCUGCGGGCUUUGGGACCUGGCCCUCCUCCGGGCUCCCUGUACUUCCGCGCCUCACAUUUGAACCAGCGCGCGCGCCCAGCCUCUAACCUUCCUUUCAACAGCUACACUACUCCCUUCACUGCUCCUCCCUUCCGGGAGGAUGGCUUGCUCCGACCUCCCUCCUUUCUCUACUGCCGGAGCCGCUUCCCUGACACACUGAAACUUCCACCCCCUUCGCUGCACUCUGGCGGGGAGGCUGGUCCUGACACCCAGCUGCCACUUUGGGAUGCCCAGCUGGCCCCCUGCUCCUGACACGUCCCCCCUGGGGCUCCCCUGGGCUUGACCACCGGAGCCCCCUUCUGGGAAUCCUGUGAUUCGCUGGAAAGACUCAUGGAAUCUCAGGAGUCAUUGUCAUCCUCUUCCUCGCUGUCCUGGGAUUCAUCCCCAUCGCUCUCCAUCUCCUGCCUACCCUGUGCCUCUGUCCCAGAACCCCUGACAGUAUGUAAUGAGACCAAAAUAACAAAUCACCAUCUUUCCGCUUCCAUAUGCGUAGAAAGAAGACGAAUAAGCUUCGAUUGGGCUUAUUUCAAUUCGCAUGGUGUUUUUUGGGUGUGCACCAGAAUCACCCCAACCAAAGCAAAAAGGUGUUUUGGCCUCCAUCUACAUAAAAAGAUGAUAACGCUCUGAUUGGGCUUAUUUCAAAUUGGUGUUUUUGGGUUUUGAAUGCACAUUCGCCCAAAAAUCGUAGUGAAAUGUGCGUUAUAAGCCCAAAUCAAGCAUAGGUGUUUUGGUUCCAUCUCAAUAGAAAGAUGAAGAUUAAGCUUGGAUUGCACUUUCGGUGUUCAUUCACCCAAAAAACAAAGCGAAGUGUCAUAAGCCUAAACAAAGCAAAAAAGAUUAUUUUGGGUUCCAUCUACAUAGAAAGAAGAAUCUUGGAUUUCACUUAUUUCAAAGUCGUGUUCUUUGGUGUUAAUGCACAUUGACCCAGAAAUCGCAAAGUGUAUGUAAUGAGACCAAAAUAACAAAUCACCGUCUUUCCGCUUCCAUAGCGUAGAAAGAAGAAGAAAAAGCUUUGAUUGGGCUUAUUUCAAUUCGCAUGGUGUUUUUUGGGUGUGCACCAGAAUCCCCCCAACCAAAGCAAAAAGGUGUUUUUGCCUCCAUCUACAUAAAAAGAAGUUGAUAACGCUCUGAUUGGGCUUAUUUCAAAUUGGUGUUUUUGGGGUUAGAAUGCACAUUCACCCAAAAAUCGUAGAGUGAAAUGUGCGUUAUAAGCCCAAAUCAAGCAUAGGUGUUUUGGUUCCAUCUCAAUAGAAAGGACAACUAAGCUUCAGGUGCACUUUCGGUGUUCAUUCACCCACAAAUAACAAAGCGAAGUGUCAUAAGCCUAAACAAAGCAAAACAGAUUAUUUUGGGUUCCAUCUACAUAGAAAGAAGAAUCUUGUAUUUCACUUCUUUCAAAGUCGUGUUCUAUGGUUUUAAUGCCCAUUCACCCAGACAUCGCAAAGUGUAUGGAAUGAGACCAAAAUAACAAAACACCAUCUUUCCGCUUCCAUUGCAUAGAAAGAAGAAGAAUAAGCUUCGAUUGGGCUUAUUUCAAUUCGCAUGGUGUUUUUUGGGUGUGCAGCAGAAUCACUCCAACCAAAGGAAAAGGUGUUUUGGCUUCCAUCUACAUAAAAAGAAGAUGAUAACGCUCUGAUUGGGCUUAUUUCAAAUUGGUGUUUUUGGGCUUAGAAUGCACAUUCACCCAUAAAUCGCAGAGGGAAAUUUGUUAUCAGCACAAAUCAAACAUAGGUGUUUUGAUUCAAUCUCUAUAAAAAGAGGAGGAAUAAGCUUCGAUUGCUCUUUCGGUGUUCAUUCACCCACAAGAUCAAAGCGGUGUCAUAAGCCUAAACAAGAGAAAACAGGUUAUUUUCGGUUCCAUCUACAUAGAAUGAAGAAUCUUGCAUUUCGCUUAUUUCAAAGUCGUCUUCUUUGGUUUUAAUGCACAUUGACCAGAAAUCGCAAAGUGUAUGUAAUGAGACGAAAAUAACAAAACACCGUAUUUCCGCUUACAUAUGCGUAGAAAGAAGAAGAAUAAGCUUCGAUUGGGCUUAUUUCGAUUGGGGUUAGAAUGCACAUUCACCCAAAAUCGUAGAUUGAAAUGUGCGUUAUAAGCCCAAAUCAAGCAUAGGUGUUUUGAUUCGAUCUCUAUAGAAAGAGGAGGAAUAAGCUUGGAUUGCACUUUCGGUGUUCAUUCACCCACAAAUAUCAAAGCGGAGUGUCAUAAGCCUAAAGAAGACAAAACAGGUUAUUUUGGGUUCCAUCUACAUAGAAAGAAGAGUCUUGCAUUUCGCUUAUUUCAAAGGCGUGUUCAUUGGUGUUAAUGCACAUUUACCCAGAAAUCGCAAAGUGUAUGUAAUGAGACGAAAAUAACAAAACACCAUCUUUCCGCUUCCAUAUGCGUAGAAAGAAGACGAAUAAGCUUCGAUUGGGCUUAUUUCAAUUCGCAUGGUGUUUUUUGGGUGUGCACCAGAAUCACCCCAACCAAAGCAAAAAGGUGUUUUGGCCUCCAUCUACAUAAAAAGAUGAUAACGCUCUGAUUGGGCUUAUUUCAAAUUGGUGUUUUUGGGUUUUGAAUGCACAUUCGCCCAAAAAUCGUAGUGAAAUGUGCGUUAUAAGCCCAAAUCAAGCAUAGGUGUUUUGGUUCCAUCUCAAUAGAAAGAUGAAGAUUAAGCUUGGAUUGCACUUUCGGUGUUCAUUCACCCAAAAAACAAAGCGAAGUGUCAUAAGCCUAAACAAAGCAAAAAAGAUUAUUUUGGGUUCCAUCUACAUAGAAAGAAGAAUCUUGGAUUUCACUUAUUUCAAAGUCGUGUUCUUUGGUGUUAAUGCACAUUGACCCAGAAAUCGCAAAGUGUAUGUAAUGAGACCAAAAUAACAAAUCACCGUCUUUCCGCUUCCAUAGCGUAGAAAGAAGAAGAAAAAGCUUUGAUUGGGCUUAUUUCAAUUCGCAUGGUGUUUUUUGGGUGUGCACCAGAAUCCCCCCAACCAAAGCAAAAGGUGUGUUGGCCUCCAUCUACAUAAAAAGAAGUUGAUAACGCUCUGAUUGGGCUUAUUUCAAAUUGGUGUUUUUGGGGUUAGAAUGCACAUUCACCCAAAAAUCGUAGAGUGAAAUGUGCGUUAUAAGCCCAAAUCAAGCAUAGGUGUUUUGGUUCCAUCUCAAUAGAAAGGACAACUAAGCUUCAGGUGCACUUUCGGUGUUCAUUCACCCACAAAUAACAAAGCGAAGUGUCAUAAGCCUAAACAAAGCAAAACAGAUUAUUUUGGGUUCCAUCUACAUAGAAAGAAGAAUCUUGUAUUUCACUUCUUUCAAAGUCGUGUUCUAUGGUUUUAAUGCCCAUUCACCCAGACAUCGCAAAGUGUAUGGAAUGAGACCAAAAUAACAAAACACCAUCUUUCCGCUUCCAUUGCAUAGAAAGAAGAAGAAUAAGCUUCGAUUGGGCUUAUUUCAAUUCGCAUGGUGUUUUUUGGGUGUGCAGCAGAAUCACUCCAACCAAAGGAAAAAGGUGUUUUGGCUUCCAUCUACAUAAAAAGAAGAUGAUAACGCUCUGAUUGGGCUUAUUUCAAAUUGGUGUUUUUGGGCUUAGAAUGCACAUUCACCCAUAAAUCGCAGAGGGAAAUUUGUUAUCAGCACAAAUCAAACAUAGGUGUUUUGAUUCAAUCUCUAUAAAAAGAGGAGGAAUAAGCUUCGAUUGCUCUUUCGGUGUUCAUUCACCCACAAGAUCAAAGCGGUGUCAUAAGCCUAAACAAGAGAAAACAGGUUAUUUUCGGUUCCAUCUACAUAGAAUGAAGAAUCUUGCAUUUCGCUUAUUUCAAAGUCGUCUUCUUUGGUUUUAAUGCACAUUGACCAGAAAUCGCAAAGUGUAUGUAAUGAGACGAAAAUAACAAAACACCGUAUUUCCGCUUACAUAUGCGUAGAAAGAAGAAGAAUAAGCUUCGAUUGGGUUUAUUUCGAUUGGGGUUAGAAUGCACAUUCACCCAAAAUCGUAGAUUGAAAUGUGCGUUAUAAGCCCAAAUCAAGCAUAGGUGUUUUGAUUCGAUCUCUAUAGAAAGAGGAGGAAUAAGCUUGGAUUGCACUUUCGGUGUUCAUUCACCCACAAAUAUCAAAGCGAAGUGUCAUAAGCCUAAAGAAGACAAAACAGGUUAUUUUGGGUUCCCUCUACAUAGAAAGAAGAGUCUUGCAUUUCGCUUAUUUCAAAGGCGUGUUCAUUGGUGUUAAUGCACAUUUACCCAGAAAUCGCAAAGUGUAUGUAAUGAGACGAAAAUAACAAAACACCAUCUUUCCGCUUCCAUAUGCGUAGAAAGAAGACGAAUAAGCUUCGAUUGGGCUUAUUUCAAUUCGCAUGGUGUUUUUUGGGUGUGCACCAGAAUCACCCCAACCAAAGCAAAAAGGUGUUUUGGCCUCCAUCUACAUAAAAAGAUGAUAACGCUCUGAUUGGGCUUAUUUCAAAUUGGUGUUUUUGGGGUUAGAAUGCACAUUCAACCAAAAAUCGCAGAGUGAAAUGUUUUUCAGCCCAAAUCAAGCAUAGGUCUUUUGGUUCCACCUCAAUAGAAGGAGGACGAAAAAACUUGGAUUGCACUUUCGGUGUUCAUUCACCCACAAAUAACAAAGCGAAGUGUCAUAAGCCUAAACAAAGCAAAACAGAUUAUUUUGGGUUCCAUCUACAUAGAAAGAAGAAUCUUGGAUUUCACUUAUUUCAAAAUCAUGUUGUUUGGUGUUAAUGCACAUUUACCGAGAAAUCGCAAAGUGUAUGUAAUGAGACCAAAAUAACAAAUCACCAUCUUUCCGCUUCCAUAGCGUAGAAAGAAGAAGAAUAAGCUUCGAUUGGGCUUAUUUCAAAUCGCAUGGUGUUUUUUGGGUGUGCACCAGAAUCCCCCCAACCAAAGCAAAAAGGUGUUUUUGCCUCCAUCUACAUAAAAAGAAGUUGAUAACGCUCUGAUUGGGCUUAUUUCAAAUUGGUGUUUUUGGGGUUAGAAUGCACAUUCACCCAAAAAUCGUAGAGUGAAAUGUGCGUUAUAAGCCCAAAUCAAGCAUAGGUGUUUUGGUUCCAUCUCAAUAGAAGGGACAACUAAGCUUCAGGUGCACUUUCGGUGUUCAUUCACCCACAAAUAACAAAGCGAAGUGUCAUAAGCCUAAACAAAGCAAAACAGAUUAUUUUGGGUUCCAUCUACAUAGAAAGAAGAAUCUUGUAUUUCACUUCUUUCAAAGUCGUGUUCUAUGGUUUUAAUGCCCAUUCACCCAGACAUCGCAAAGUGUAUGGAAUGAGACCAAAAUAACAAAACACCAUCUUUCAGCUUCCAUUGCAUAGAAAGAAGAAGAAUAAGCUUCGAUUGGGCUUAUUUCAAUUCGCAUGGUGUUUUUUGGGUGUGCAGCAGAAUCACUCCAACCAAAGGAAAAGGUGUUUUGGCUUCCAUCUACAUAAAAAGAAGAUGAUAACGCUCUGAUUGGGCUUAUUUCAAAUUGGUGUUUUUGGGGUUAGAAUGCACAUUCACCCAUAAAUCGCAGAGGGAAAUUUGUUAUCAGCACAAAUCAAACAUAGGUGUUUUGAUUCAAUCUCUAUAAAAAGAGGAGGAAUAAGCUUCGAUUGCUCUUUCGGUGUUCAUUCACCCACAAGAUCAAAGCGGUGUCAUAAGCCUAAACAAGAGAAAACAGGUUAUUUUCGGUUCCAUCUACAUAGAAUGAAGAAUCUUGCAUUUCGCUUAUUUCAAAGACGUGUUCUUUUGUGUUAAUGCACAUUUACCCAGAAAUCGCAAAGUGUAUGUAAUGAGACGAAAAUAACAAAACACCGUAUUUCCGCUUACAUAUGCGUAGAAAGAAGAAGAAUAAGCUUCGAUUGGGCUUAUUUCGAUUGGGGUUAGAAUGCACAUUCACCCAAAAUCGUAGAGUGAAAUGUGCGUUAUAAGCCCAAAUCAAGCAUAGGUGUUUUGAUUCGAUCUCUAUAGAAAGAGGAGGAAUAAGGUUGGAUUGCACUUUCGGUGUUCAUUCACCCACAAAUAUCAAAGCGAAGUGUCAUAAGCCUAAAGAAGACAAAACAGGUUAUUUUGGGUUCCAUCUACAUAGAAAGAAGAGUCUUGCAUUUCGCUUAUUUCAAAGGCGUGUUCAUUGGUGUUAAUGCACAUAUACCCAGAAAUCGCAAAGUGUAUGUAAUGAGACCAAAAUAAAAAAAACACCAUAUUUCCUCUUCCAUAUGCGUAGAAAGAAGACGAAGAAGCUUCGAUUGGGCUUAUUUCAAUUCGCAUGGUGUUUUUUGGGUGCGCACCAGAAUCACCCGAACCCAAGCAAAAAGGUGUUUUGGCUUCCAGCUACAUAAAAAGAAGAUAAUAACACUCUGAUUGGGCUUAUUUCAAAUUGGUGUUUUGGGGUUUAGAAUGCACAUUCACCCAAAAAUCGUAGAGUGAAAUGUGCGUUAUAAGCCCAAAUCCAGCAUAGGUGUUUUGGUUCCAUCUCAACAGAAAGAGGACAACUAAGCUUGGGUUGCACUUUUAGUCUUCAUUCACCCACAAAUAACAAAGCGAAGUGUAAUAAGCCUAAAAUUCGCCUAAACAAAGCAAAACAGGUUAUUUUGUCUUCCAUCUACAUAAAAAGAAGACGAUAACGCUCCAGUUGGGCUUACUUCAAAUUGGUGUUUUUGGGGUUAGAAUGCACAUUCAACCAAAAAUCGCAGAAUGAAAUGUUUUUCAGCCCAAAUCAAGCAUAGGUGUUUUGGUUCCAUCUCAAUAGAAGGAGGACGAAUAAGCUUGGAUUGCACUUUCGGUGUUCAUUCACCCACAAAUAACAAAUCAACGUGUAAUAAGCCUAAACAAAGCUAAACAGGUUGUUUUGAGUUCCAUCUACACAGAAAGAGGCAUCUUGGAUUUCGCUUAUUUCAAAGUCGUGUUCUUUGGUUUUAAUGCACAUUGACCCAGAAAUCGCAAAGUGUAUGUAAUGAGACCAAAAUAACGAAACACCAUAUUUCCGCUUCCAUAUGCGUAGAAAGAAGAAUAAUAAGCUUUGAUUGGGCUUAUUUCAAUACACAGGGUGUUUUUUGGUGUGCACCAGAAUCACCCUCAACCAAAGAAAAAGGUCUCUUGGCUUCCAUCUACAUAAAAAGAAGGUGAUAACGCUCUGAUUUGGUUUAUUUCAAAUUGGUGUUUUUGGGGUUAGAAUGCACAUUCACCCAAAAAUCGCAGAGUGACAUGUUUCUUAUCAGCCCAAACGAAGCACAGGUGUUUUGGUUCCAUCUCAAUAGAAAGAGGACGAAUAAUUUUGGAUUGUUCUUUCGGUGUUCAUUCACAAAUAGCAAAUCGAAUUGUAAUAAGCCUAAACAAAGCCAAACAGGUUGUUUUGGGUUGCAGCAACAUAGAAAGAAGAAUCUUGGAUUUUGCUUAUUUCGUGUUCUUUGGUGUUAAUGCACAUUGACCCAGUAAUCGCAAAGUGUGUGUAAUGAGACCAAAAUAAAACAACACCGUCUUUUCGCUUCCAUACGCGUAGAAAGAAGACAAAUAAGUUUUGAUUGUGCUUAUUUCAAUUCGCAUGGGGUUUUAUAGGUGUGCACCAGAAUCACCCCCAACCAAAGCAAAAAAGUCUUUUGGGUUCUAUCUACAUAAAAAGAAGAUGAUAAAGCUCUGAUUGGGCUUAUUUCAAAUUGAUGUUUUUGGGCUUAGAAUCCACAUUCACCCAAAAAUUGCAGAGUGACUUGUUUAUUAUCAGACCAAACCAAGCAUAGGUGUUUUGGUUCCAUCUCAAUAGAAAGAGGAAUAAGCUUUCAUUGUUCUUUCGGUGUUCAAUCCCCCACAAAUAGCAAAGCGAAGUGUAAUAAGCCUAAACAAAGCCAAACAGGUUGUUUUGGGUUGCAGCAACAUAGAAAGAAGAAUCUUGGAUUUUGCUUAUUUCGUGUUCUUUGGUGUUAAUGCACAUUGACCCAGAAAUCUCAAAGUGUGUGUAAUGAGACCAAAAUAACACAACAUUGUCUUUUCGCUUCCCUAUGCCUAGAAAGAAGACAAAUAAGCUUUGAUUGUGCUUAUUUCAAUUCGCAUGGGGUUUUAUGGGUGUGCACCAGAAUCACCCCUAACGAAAGCAAAAAGGUCUUUUGGGUUCCAUCUACAUAAAAAGAAGAUGAUAAAGCUCUGAUUGGGCUUAUUUCAAAUUGGUGUUUUGGGGGUUAGAAUGCACAUUAACCCAAAAAUCGCAGAGUGACAUGUUUAUUAUCAGACCAAACCAAGCAUAGGUAUUUUGGUUCCAUCUCAAUAGAAAGAGGACGAAUAAACUUGCAUUGUUCUUUCGGUGUUCAGUCCCCCACAAAUAGCAAAGCAAAGUGUAAUAAGCCUAAACAAAGCCAAACAGGUUGUUUUGGGUUGCAGCAACAUAGAAAGAAGAAUCUUGGAUUUUGCUUAUUUCGUGUUCUUUGGUGUUAAUCCACAUUGACCCAGAAAUCUCAAAGUGUGUGUAAUGAGAUCAAAAUAACACAACACCGUCUUUGGAGCUCCCGGCAGCUGAAGGGGAGAUUGUGUGCGACUCCUCUCUGGUAUGCUAUAAUUUGUGUUUUGUAUGCCUGCUGCUAUCUGUUAACCUUAUGCAAAUAAAGCAUUGCUUGUUCUUCAUCCACUGGCGUGCUUAUUGGCUCCAGAUCCAGAAAUAACCCUGCCCUUGGCAGAACAUAUACAGCGCUUUUUUUCUGGGGGGGACGCAGGGGAAUGGAUACUCCUAAAACAUUUUGUGAAUGUACUUUGGUCCAUUUACUGUAUUUAUUUUUCCCGGUUUGAACUAUAAAAUGGUGAUUUUCUUGAGUCAAAAUGAGAGUAUCCCCAGUCACUUUUUUUAGAAAAGAAGUACUGCAUAGAUACACACACACAUAUACAUAUAUCCAUUUUAUUUUUAUAUAUUUACAAACGGACACCUAUAUCUAGGUAUGUAUAUUCUUGUAUAUAAACUUCCGCGGCCCACCCGCACCAUCCUACCGCAAAGGGGCACGAGAGGAAGGCCACUGGGGGGAAAGGCAGGUGAGGACGAGGCGGGGGGCAGGGCUGCACCCUGGGAGAGCGGGGUCGACAGAGAGAGUGGGUGGGAGAAAGAGAGAGGGCCAGCCUCGCUCGGCACGUCUCUGCUGGCCCAACGUCGCAGCGCCUCUUCCGCCUAUUUCCCUCCCCUUCCUGUGCUCAUGCCUCUCCUCCGGUGGCACGUCCUUCCGGUACCCCUGCCCUCGCGCAACAUGGCGGCAGCACAGCCUCUUCCGCCCAUUUCCCUCCCCUUCCUGUGCUCAUGCCUCUCCUCCGGUGGCACGUCCUUCCGGUACCCCUGCCCUCGCGCAACAUGGCGGCAGCACAGCCUCUACCGCCCAUUUCCCUCCCCUACCCUUCCUGUCCUCUUGCCUCUCCUCCGGUGGCACCUCCUUCCGGGUACCCCCUGCUCUUGCCCAACAUGGCGGCAGCACAGCCUCUUCCGCCCUUCCCCCACCCCUUCCUGUCCUCUCGCCUCUCCUCCGGUGGCACCUCCUUCCGGUACCCCCUGCCCUCGCCCAACAUGGCGGCAGCACAGCCUCUUCCGCCCAUUUCCCUCCCCUUCCUGUCCUCUUGCCUCUCCUCCGGUGGCACCUCCUUCCGGUACCCCCUGCCCUCGCCCAACAUGGCGGCAGCACAGCCUCUUCCGCCCUUCCCCCACCCCUUCCUGUCCUCUUGCCUCUCCUCCGGUGGCACCUCCUUCCGGUACCCCCUGCCCUCGCGCAACAUGGCGGCAGCACAGCCUCUUCCGCCCUUCCGAGCUAGGAGUGCAGAAAAAGGUGAAACUGCCAUGAAAAGGAGAGGAGGAGUGUGUGAGUGAGUGAGUGAGAGUGAGACAGGGAGCAUCCUAGUAGAGAUGGAAGGGGAACCCAAGGGUCAUCUAGUCCAACCCUCUGCAAAGAAGCUCAGAGCUACAAUUCCCAGGUCUUCUUUGGGAAUUCUAUGGGAAGUAAGAGUUUCCAUAUUCAUGAGCAUUCACUUAGAGUGCGCUCAUGUUUUUACCUUUUAUUGAAAGCGGUCACAAGUGACUUGGGUGGAGUAUAAAUAAUAAAAUUAUAUUGCUCCUGCUGCUGUUCUCUUAGCCUAACUCAAAUCCAACCCAAUACCAAACCUUAAUCCUAAUGCUCACCCUAACUCAAACCUAAUCCUCACUCUAACCCUAACCUUAACCCAAACCUAAGCCUCAGUCUAAACCUAAACCUAAUUUAACCCUAACCUUAAGUAAUAAAAUUAUAUUUCUUCUGCUGCUGUUCUUCUCUUACCGUAACUCAACCCCAACUCUAACUCCUAAUCCUAAUCCAACUCAAACCCAGCUCUCACUGUAACCCUAACCUUUACCCAAACCUAAUCCUAAACGCUUUGCUUCUUUUUGUGGUGUUUUGUGUUAUUGCUUCAUUUCGUAGGUUAUGAGGCUUUCUUUGUUUCUUGUGGUGUUGCUUCAUUUAGCAGUUUUUAAUUGGCUUUUGUGUUUCUUUUGGUAUUGCAUCAUCUUCAUAGGUUGUUUGGAUUUCUGAUUAAUUUGCUUUGGAUUUCUGGUAGCUCUGCUUCUUUAUGAUUUGUUUCUGUGUUUCUGGUGUUUUGGCUUGGUUAUGUCAUAAAAUUGAAGAAAUACCACCAGAAGCACAAAAACCAAGAAAUAUUCCUAAAAUGAGGCAAAACCAGGAGACAUGAAAACCAAGCCAAAUCAAUGGAAAAGAAACAAUCUCACCCAAAACCGCAGAACCAUUCAAAGUAAAAGAAUCAAAACAAUUAAAUGCAAAAAAACAAGCAAAACCACCCCAAAUUAAACAAAUCAGCAGAAAACAAAAAAGAAGCAGUAAAGCCACCAAUUACAAAGCAAUGCCACAAGAAACUGGAAACCAGUUUUUAAAAAGCAAAACCAGAAACUCAACAGGCAUGCAAUUUAUGGGAGUCCAAAAGCACUUCAAGCAACAGAAAUUAACCAACAUAGCAUACUAGUUUUCACAUAGUCUUGGGUUUCUGGUGAAUGUGCUUCGUUUGCAGCUGGCUUCAUUUCUUUUCCAUUGGUUUAGCUUGUUUUUUGGACUUUUGCCUUAUUGCUUCUUUUGAGAAGUUUUCUUGUUUUUGCAUUCUGGUGGUAAUACUUUUGAAUGCUUUGGGGGUUUCUGGUGAAUCUGCUUUGUUUGGGAUUGGUUGGCUUCUUUGUCAGUUUCCAUUGAUGUUGCUUUUACAUGGUUCUUCUGCUUCUUUUCAGUAGGUUUAUGUGUUUUUAGUGGUUGACUUCAUUGUUGGAAUGGUCAUUAGACAUUUCUGGUGGUUUUCCUUCAUUUCUGGUGGUUUUCCUUUUUUUCUUGGGAUUAUCAGAUCUCAUACAAAUUAAUAUUCUCAAAGGUGCAAAACCCAAAAAACCUAGAAAUGAAGCAAACUCACCAUAAAUCCAGCACCCAAUCUGUUAUGUACUAACCUUGGACCCUAGAAUGCAACAACUGAUUGGUCUUUUCCUGCAGGCCAAUCAGGCUCCAAGAGGGAAGCAGAGUUAGCCAGUCAGACGGGACUCAUUGUGUAAAUAAUGUAUAUAAAAGCCUGAGGUUGGGGGGGGGGCAAUAAAGAGCAUGAAAUACAUACAAGACUCUGAGUAUAUUUCACAAUCAUAAUUUAUAUAAAAGAAUCUAUGAAAUGAAAACCACAGAAAAAAUUCAACAUAAUCCCCAAAACAAACCAGAAACAACAGAAACAAACCACAUCCACCAAAGAUGAGAAAACCAAUUGAAUAGAACCACAAGAAACCCACGCAGUAAACAUCUCAGGGAAAGGCGAAAUCACCCCCACACCAUGCAAAACUAAGGUUUAACUGGCUUUGGGGUUUCUGCGCAAUUUACCUUUUCACUCUUGUUGGGGGUUUCUGGUGGUAUUUCUUCUGCUUCUCACAUUUCUGCUUCUUUUCAAUUGGUUUUGGGAUUCUGGUGAAUUUGGAUAUGAUUUGAUUGAAGUCUCUGUCUGGCAAUUUUCCUUUUCAUGAAUUCCUUCCUUGUUGGGUUUCUGGUAUCUCACUUUUGGUUUUCACAUUUCUCUUAGUUUUGCUACGUUUCAGGUAGUUUGCUGAUUGUUUGGAAUUAUCCAGUCUCAUAAAAAUGAAGCAAUAUCAUUAGAAGCUUAAAAAGCAUGAAAAAAACCCCAGGCACUAACCCUAACCCUGAACAUCCACCUAUCCCCUGCCCUAACCCUGAUAUUCUGGUCAUCCAUCUUGGGGAUAACAAUCUGGUGAGGUAAAUUCAGUUGAGAUCACUAAAUAUCUCCAUCAGCUGUGCUUCCUCAUCCCUGAGCUUAUCAUAGUUUGGUUUGGAAUGUUGUAGAGGUGCUUAUGGAGUGGGGGCAGCCUUCCUAAGAAGGUGGAUGGGCAAGACAUAAAGCUAAUCAUUCUACGACGACGUUUGUGUUUGAAAAUGUGGCUGCUUAUAUCCCUCAUGGCAGAAUUAUGUUCUGUGCCCCACAGUUGUAUAGACCUGGUGGUAUGCAUCUUUCUGAUUUGGGUUGUGACAUGAUUCUUAAGGAUCUGCAAAGAGCUCUGUUUGAGCACUUGUGUGUUUGUGGGUGGAGGUGAACAAGCACACCUGCCCAGACUUAAUUUGAUUUGGUUACAUUGGUCGAAUCUGACUAGUUUUGCCGAUCCUCAAGUUGUUAUAUUUAAUAAAUACAACCUAUUUAUCCACUUUUGGUUGUCUUGACUCUUCCUCCUGAUGUGCUAGGAACCACUCCGUUUGGGGGGCACUGCAAAACAUGUGCACCAGAAUCACCCCAACCCAAGCAAAAAGGUGUUUUGGCUUCCAUCUACAUAAAAAGAAGAUAAUAACGCUCUGAUUGGGCUUAUUUCAAAUUGGUGUUUUUGGGUUUAGAAUGCACAUUCACCCAAAAAUCGAAAAGUGAAAUGUGCGUUAUAAGCCCAAUUCAAGCAUAGGUGUUUUGGUUCCAUCUCAAUAGAAGGAGGACGAAUAAGCUUGGAUUCCACUUUCGGUGUUCAUUCACCCACAAAUAACAGAGCGAAGUGUAAUAAGCCUAAACAAAGCAAAACAGCUUGUUUUGAGUUCCAUCUACAUAGAAAGAGGCAUCUUGGGUUUCGCUAAUUUAAAAGUCGUGUUCUUUGGUUUUAAUGCACAUUGACCCAGAAAUCACAAAGUGUAUGUAAUGAGACCAAAAUAACGAAACACCAUAUUUCCGCUUCCAUAUGCGUAGAAGGAAGACGAAUAAGCUUUGAUUGGGCUUAUUUCAAUUACCAGGGUGUUUUUUGGUGUGCACCAGAAUCACCCUCAACCAAAGCAAAAAGGUGUCUUGGGUUCCAUCUACAUAAAAAGAAGAUGAUAACGCUCUGAUUGGGCUUAUUUCAAAUUGGUGUUUUGGGGUUUUGAAUGCACAUUCACCCAAAAAUCGUAGAGUGAAAUGUGCGUUAUAUGCCCAAAUCAAGCAUAAGUGUUUUGGUUCCAUCUCAAUAGAAAGAGGACAACUAAGCUUGGAUUGCACUUUCAGUGUUCAUUCAACCACAAAUGACAAUGCGAAGUGUAAUAAGCCUAAACAAAGCAAAACAGGUUGUUUUGAGUUCCAUCUACAUAGAAAGAGGCAUCUUGGAUUUCACUUAUUUCAAAGUCGUGUUCUUUGGUUUUAAUGCACAUUGACCCAGAAAUCGCAAAUUGUAUGUAAUGAGACCAAAAUAACAAAACACCAUCUUUCCGCUUCCAUAGCAUAGAAAGAAGAAGAAUAAGCUUCGAUUGGGCUCAUUUCAAUUCGCAUGGUGUUUUUUAUGUGUGCACCAGAAUCACCCCAACCAAAGCAAAAAGGUGUUUUGGCUUCGAGCUACAUAAAAAGAAGAUAAUAACACUCUGAUUGGGCUUAUUUCAAAUUGGUGUUUUUGGGGUUAGAAUGCACAUGCACCCAAAAAUCGCAGAGGGAAAUUUUUUAUCAGCACAAAUCAAACAUAGGUGUUUUGAUUCGAUCUCUAUAGAAAGAGGAGGAAUAAGCUUGGAUUGCUCUUUAAGUGUUCAUUCACCCACAGAUAUAAAAUGAAGUGUAAUAAGUCUAAACAAAGCAAAACAGGUUAUUUUGGAUACCAUCUACAUAGAAAGAAGAAUCUUGCAUUUCGCUUAUUUCAAAGUCGUGUUCUUUGGUGUUAAUGCACAUUUACCCAGAAAUCGCAAAGUAUGUAAUGAGACCAAAAUAACAAAACACCAUAUUUCCACUUCCAUAUGCAUAGAAAUAAGACGAAUAAGCUUAUUUCAAUUCGCAUGGUGUUUUUUGGGUGUGCACCAGAAUCACCCCAACCAAAGCAAAAAGGUGUUUUGGCUUCCAGCUACAUAAAAAGAAGAUAAUAACACUCUGAUUGGGCUUAUUUCAAAUUGGUGUUUUGGGGUUUAGAAUGCACAUUCACCCAAAAAUCGUAGAGUGAAAUGUGCAUUAUAAGCCCAAUUCAAGCAUAGGUGUUUUGGUUCCAUCUCAAUAGAAAGAGGACAACUAAGCUUGGGUUGCACUUUUAGUGUUCAUUCACCCACAAAUAAAGCGAAGUGUAAUAAGCCUAAAAUUCGCCUAAACAAAGCAAAACAGGUUAUUUUGUCUUCCAUCUACAUAAAAAGAAGAUGAUAACGCUCCAGUUGGGCUUACUUCAAAUUGGUGUUUUUGGGGUUAGAAUGCACAUUCAACCAAAAAUCGCAGAGUGAAACGUUUUUCAGCCCAAAUCAAGCAUAGGUGUUUUGGUUCCAUCUCAAUAGAAGGAGGACGAAUAAGCUUGGAUUGCACUUUCGGUGUUCAUUCACCCACAAAUAACAAAUCAACGUGUAAUAAGCCUAAACAAAGCUAAACAGGUUGUUUUGAGUUCCAUCUACACAGAAAGAGGCAUCUUGGAUUUCGCUUAUUUCAAAGUCGUGUUCUUUGGUUUUAAUGCACAUUGACCCAGAAAUCGCAAAGUGUAUGUAAUGAGACCAAAAUAACGAAACACCAUAUUUCCCCUUCCAUAUGCGUAGAAAGAAGAAUAAUAAGCUUUGAUUGGGCUUAUUUCAAUACACAGGGUGUUUUUUGGGUGUGCACCAGAAUCAACCUCAACCAAAGAAAAAGGUCUCUUGGCUUCCAUCUACAUAAAAAGAAGAUGAUAACGCUCUGAUUUGGUUUAUUUCAAAUUGGUGUUUUUGGGGUUAGAAUGCACAUUCACCCAAAAAUCGCAGAGGGAAAUUUGUUAUCAGCACAAGUCAAGGAUAGGUGUUUUGAAUCGAUCUCUAUAGAAAGAGGAGGAAUAAGCUUGGAUUGCUCUUUCGGUGUUCAUUCACCCACAAAUAUCAAAGCGACGUGUCAUAAGCCUAAACAAAUUAAAACAGGUUAUUUUGGGUUCCAUCUACAUAGAAAGAAGAAUCUUGGAUGUCGCUUAUUUCAAAGUCGUGUUCUUUGGUGUUAAUGCACAUUUACCCACAAAUCGUAAAGUGUAUGUAAUGAGACCAAAAUAACAAAACACCAUCUUUCCGCUUCCAUAGCGUAGAAAGAAGAAGAAUAAGCUUCGAUUGGGCUUAUUUCAAUUCGCAUGGUGUUUUCUGGUGUGCACCAGAAUCACCCCAACCCAAGCAAAAAGGUGUUUUGGCUUCCAUCUACAUAAAAAGAAGAUAAUAACGCUCUGAUUGGGCUCAUUUCAAAUUGGUGUUUUUGGGUUUAGAAUGCACAUUCACCCAAAAAUCGAAAAGUGAAAUGUGCGUUAUAAGCCCAAUUCAAGCAUAGGUGUUUUGGUUCCAUCUCAAUAGAAGGAGGACGAAUAAGCUUGGAUUGCACUUUCGGUGUUCAUUCACCCACAAAUAACAGAGCGAAGUGUAAUAAGCCUAAACAAAGCAAAACAGGUUAUUUUGGGUUCCAUCUACAUAGAAAGAAGAAUCUUGGAUUUCACUUAUUUCAAAGUCGUUUUCUUUGGUUUUCAUGCACAUUGACCCAGAAAUCGCAAAGUGUAUUUAAUGAGACCAAAAUAACAAAACACCAUCUUUCCGCUUCCAUAGUGUAGAAAGAAGAAGAAUAAGCUUCGAUUGGGCUUAUUUCAAUUCGCAUGGUGUUUUUUGGGUGUGCAGCAGAAUCACCCCAACCAAAGCAAAAAGGUGUUUUGGCUUCCAUCUACAUAAAAAGAAGAUGAUAACGCUCUGAUUGGGCUUAUUUCAAAUUGGUGUUUUUGGGUUUAGAAUGCACAUUCACCCAAAAAUCGAAAAGUGAAAUGUGCGUUAUAAGCCCAAUUCAAGCAUAGGUGUUUUGGUUCCAUCUCAAUAGAAGGAGGACCUUUUGCAUCGGAGUUCCAGUCCUUCGCAACCAGACAACAUGAGCUCUCGGGUCAUCGCAGCUGUCUGCUGUGGGGAGACCGCGUUGUGAUUCCCCAAAGACUCCGUCAACGCGUCCUUCAGGCUCUGCACGUUGGCCACCCAGGAAUUGUCAAAAUGAAGGUGUUGGCUCGGUGUUACGUCUUUUGGCCCAACAUGGACGAUGCCAUCACUGCCUGGGUUUCCACCUGUCAAGCGUGCCAAGUAUUGAGGCCACCGACAGCUAAGGGACACACCUGGGAGACGCCCAAGACACCCUGGUUGAGGGUGCACAUCGAUCUGGACAGCCCCUUUCGUGGCCGGACCUUUAUGGUAGUGGUGGACGCCUAUUCCAAAUGGCUGGAGGUGGCCCUGAUGCCCUCCAUCACUACCGAGGCCGUCAUCUGGGUGCUGCGAGGCCUCUUUGCAACGCAUAGGUGUCCUGAUGUCCUUGUCUCCGACAACGGACCACAGUUCACGUCAGGCACUUUUGAGCGGUACCUUUUGGGACUGGGCAUCCGCCAUGCCCUAACAGCACCAUUUCAUCCAUCCAGCAACGGGCAAGCGGAGAGAAUGGUGCGCUCGGCAAAAGAGGCACUGGGAUGCCUGGACCGGGGAGACUGGCACAAGCAGGUCGCCAAAUACUUGUUCGUGGAACACAUCACCCCUCAUGCGGCCACAGGGCGGAGUCCUGCCGAACUGCUUAUGGGCUGCCGCCUCAGGUCCCCGCUCGACCGGCUGCACCCGGACUUUGCCGUGGCUGAACCCCCAGGCUGUGCCAACGCACCACGGUCAUUUGUUCCAGGAAACCAGGUAUUUGCCCGGAACUUUGUGGGGGACAUUCCUUGGGUGCCAGCCACAGUAGUGGGAGUCACUGGACCUCGCUCGUACCAGGUGGCACUCGAAAAUGGAGGUUUGUGGCGCUGGCACAUAGACCAGCUUAGGCGCAGGGUUGGGGACUUGGACACUACCGUGGUGCCCCCAACUGUGCUCGUGGCUCCGGAACAGACACUUACAGAUGGUGAGGCUCCACCUACACCUCUCUCGCAAACUGCCGGCGUGGAGCCGAACCACUGCCAUCCCUGUCAUUCCGCCAACUCCACUUGCGGAUGUUCCACCCACAGCAGCGGAUCCAGGGGACUUGGUUUCAAUGCCACCUAGGGUCGUGCCACAGCCUCAGCAAGAAUCGGGCAGCCCACCGGACCUGGGUACCGCUCCCCGGCAGUCUGGCAGAGUUUCCAAGCGCUCAACUUAUUUAAAGGACUAUGUUGUUGGACAUGUAACACUGUUGGUCUAAGUAUGUGGAAGUAUGUGAAAUGUAACCGAUAUGCUUUUGUGCCUAAUUGAACCAUUACGUGUAGUGCUGUAUAUAAGGAAACCAUUACGAUUGUAACUAACGCCUUAUCUCGGUGGGGAGGGGUGUUAUGUACUGAAGUUCUCACCCUGGGCCAGCAGGGGGAUACUGUAGAUAGUUAUGCAAAUGAAGGAUCGAAAGUGACAUUCAGUGAUUGGAUAGUUUUAGAAAGUUGUUACAGUAUUCAGUUAUGUCCUGGCCUGUGAAUAAACAAGAGCUGUUUGAAGAA